CAUCGUGAGGUGGAAUCUGAAGGAAGAACGAGGCAAACUGCUGGCCCGAGGGUCACGAAUCUCAAUUGAGGCCACUCAUGCGGAUAAGCGUACACUACAACGUAAAGUCCAAAUAACUACAAUAGUAUGAGUGGUAAAUGAGGCGGGUA
rnacentral:ncRNA from 1 species